CGUUUCUGCGGAGGGAUCUUUGUGGGGGCGGUGGCCAGCGAUGACUAUAUAAGAAAGCGUCGGCACUGUCGCAGCGAGAUUCGUCGAGGCCGGUGUCUGGUUUUGCUGCUGUGUGUUCGCUGCUGCCACCACCACUUGACAAUGCAGAUCUUUGUGAAAACCUUAACGGGUAAAACCAUCACCCUUGAGGUGGAGCCCAGUGACACCAUUGAGAACGUCAAGGCAAAGAUCCAAGACAAGGAAGGCAUCCCUCCUGACCAGCAGAGGUUGAUCUUUGCUGGGAAACA